AAAAAGAGUAGCGCACAGUACACAGAAUACCUUAGCUUCGUUAUCAAUUUUAUUGACUGAAAGAGGGAAACGAUCAGGGAAACGAUCGUCGCGCAGUUCAAUAAAACCCUACCACUCUCCUCUUCACUUCCCCUUCUCUGCCGGAAUCUGACAUCAUGUUCUGCCGUGCCGUACCUCCGUUGCCCACCGCCUCUCUCCUCUUCUCGUAAUCCAUUCUUCCGCUUCUACCACCACCACCACCACCAUUAUGACCCUAAUUACUACCAUUAUUAUCAUUUAAGAAGCUCAACCCUCCCUAUCCCUCUUUCUCUCUCUCUAUUUCGACUCGGAUCUCACUCUCAUUAUCGGAUUUUCUCAUUGACCGGUCGUAAUAUUCGUCACUUUUUUAGUUGAAUAGUGAUGGCGGCGAUGCUGAAGAGCUAUAGUAGCAAUGCGUGCUUCCCUGCUUCUGGUUUCGCUGUUUUUCGCUCCAACAAUGCCACCAACGCCAGUAACAAGAGGUUAUAAUAAAAAAUAUCGAUUUUUUAUUUGCUUAAUAUGUCAUUUCUUUUAUAAAAAUAUCGUUUUUUUGGUAUCUUCUUGUGUUUGUCACUCAUAUAUGUGUUACUUAUUCUAGUUCUCAUUUCAAUGUGUAUUUAGAUGUUGACUUGAUUUUUGGUUAAUUGGUGAUUUUAUAUGUAUGACGUAAGGGACUAAGUUGAUAGGGAAAAAAAAUAAAUUUAAAUAUCUCACAUUGGAGCAAUUUGAGUAUUUGUUUUUUACUUAGUGCUCAUGUCAAUUGAUUAAUAGAUGCUCUUACUAUAGUGGGGUUUGUGAUGGUCGAUGGAUUAUGUUGUUGAGUAUUUCCUUGUUUUGAUUUGGGUUUUAUUUUGCUCUAUUAGGUGUAUACUUGCAAUGCUACCUAGUUUGUAACUUACUUUAAAAAUGGGGGUUUGCUAAAUAAGUAAAUAAUAUGAUUCUGGUUGCUGGGGUUGUAUUUAUAUUUAUUUACAUGAUUACUAAUUUGUAAUUUUUUGUUUUUCAAAUCAAGUUAACUCCUUGGGGAAUUUCUGUGUUGAACAUUUUAUCUCCUUCAACUUAUUCACUUUUAGAAACACCAUUUUUUUUUAUACUUGUUUCUUUUCAGCAUUUAGCUAAAGCCAAUCCUGACAUUGUAGUCAAAUGAGAAAUUAAACAGUGUAUGGAGCUAAAUGAGUUUAGAAGAUUUGUGAUUAUCUUAUGUUCCGAGUCUUUUUGCCUUUGUCUUAUUGUUUGGAUUUAGAAUUUUGUCAUUACUUGG